GUGAUCCAGCCUUCCAAACCAAUGUACUGCCACAGUUAUUUUGUUCCUGCUGCCCAAAACACCACGGGCAGGUGUGCAUGUUGAACUGGGAGGGGAAGGUGUCUUAGGGCGGCUGCUACCAGUCCUGAGUGGGGUUUGCUCAGCUCUGGGACCUGACCCAGGUGGGUGUGUGGGAUGAGGCUUAAAUGCCUCCAGGUGUGUUUGUGAGGGGGAGGGUUGGCUAGCUCGGCUGAUUGUCCAGGCUUAAGAGGGCUGUCUUUUAAUUAAUAGGUGGUGAAGAGUUUUGGAGAAGACUGUCCUGCAAGGCAAGAGGUGGUGUCCUGGGCAAGGACCUCUGCAGCCUGUGGCUUACUUUGAGUCCUACGUUUCCUAAUGCAGUGUUUUUCCAGGCAGCUGUGACGUGGAGGGUGGAAGUCAGGCUGACCUUGUCCUGCCCAGCAUCCUGCAAACCGCUCUUCUCUUGGUUCGCUCUGCCAGAGGAAAGUCUUUACAGAAUCGGAAAAUUAUUCUCAAAGAGGCCAAGCCUCUCCUACUGCUUUCGCUGUGUGUGUGUGGUGGAAUAAACAUCUGUUGGGCCAGUUCUCAUUUGCAAGCGAGGGCAAUUACCCGUGGCACAGGCUGCAUCUGCAGAUGAUUGGAAACACACCUACAAGUCCCAGGAUGUUCACAUCCAAAGUCUUGGAACUUCAGUUCUACAUAAAACUCUUUGAAGUUCAUUCUCAUCUUUGCAAAUGACUGAUGGAAAUGACUGAGCAUCUGAAACUUGUUAGGAACCUAAUCCAAGGACUCCCGUUUAGCUUAGUGGCUUUUGGAUCAGGCCCUUGCAGUGAGCUCUCCUGAAAUAAGGGACAUUUGUUUUCUGUGUCAGUUUUGCUCCAUUAUUGACUGGUAGGAAUCUGAAUUGGUCAGACAAAAUGUAGUGAAAUUUUUUCUUUCCCUACAUGUGUUGAAAUAAAGUGGCAGCACACCAUAAAGUGGGGUCUAAAACAAGGCAAGAAUAACAAGAAAUUUGUGGGCUUCAAAAUUCCGAAGGAAAUUGCGAUCCUUGAAAUGUGGGCUGGACUCCAGGGCUAGUUUACACACCUGGCCAGUUUUUGGGUCCUGAGGCUCAUCCUGUUGAUGAACAUAACAGCAAGUUUGCCUGGCUGGAGGACAGAGGAUUGCUAGCUCCAUGCCUUCUGGCCCACGCUCCCCUUGGUUUGCACUGGCUUUAGAUUUACUGUGGGUGCAGAGCACUCAGCAGAGCUGCUUAAGGGAGAAUCUCCUUACCAUAGGGUAUUCCUGUAUCGCCCAACUUCCCAGAGAUCUCUGCAGGGCACUUGAACAAGUUCUCAGGGCCUGGCUCAGGAGGGAGCAGGGCUUGAGUUUGCUGACCUGCCUUAGUGUCCUGGCACAAAGCAAAGCUAGAUGUGGCCCAUACAGACGCAUCCUAAAAUGGCCUUGUGUGCAUCUGCGGUGAAAGCUUAGGAAAAGAUUGUCAGCUGUACCACUUUUCUUUCCAUGGGUUGUUUGGAGCUGACACAGAAAAACUGGAGAGCUUAUAUUUUCUUCUGGUUUAGUCACUCUGAACUCUUUAUUUGUGCAACCUCUUUUGUAAUGGCCGUUGCACAUAGGAUGCAAUAAGUCUGGCUUUGCCCAUCAGAGCUCUGGCUGGUGUGAAAGAGCGGUGUGAGCUGAUUUCCUCUGGGCUGUGACGGUUCCUCAGGGCUGCAGACACCCGUGUCACCUGGCAGGCGUUGCUGCAGCCCUCAGGUUGCUCUGGUCAGCACUGGGAAGCCAAUGCAGUGAAAUAUUUCAUGCUCUAGGAACUGAAGUGCUAAAUGCAAUCCACUUGGGAGCACAAGGCCAAGUAAAGCAUUAACACCGGAGUUAAGCCAAACCAAUUCAGGAAUAACUAAUAUUGUUGACUUUGCUUGCACAAAAUGUCACUUUCUUUGAGCUUCUAUUCUCUCCCCCAAGAGCGGGUUUAAGAGUAAACACAAAUAUUAGUCAUCUUUCUCCUAUUAAUUAUUGUUAAAGAUUUAAGGGAUCAUAGACUUUGAAGUUAAUGCCCCAUUCAAUGUGGGAAAAGGCAAAACUGUGCAUCCCCAGUGGUGUUGUUCUUUCUGGCUGGCUGGCUGAUCACAGACUGAUUGUCGUGCCUUGCGACAUCACUGUAUGUUGCUUGACUUCAAGGUGGCAAUUGUGAGAUGAAGCAGGUUUCAGAUGAAGAGAGCGCUAGCGAGCACGCCUGCAUGUGUGCACACGCAUGUACGUACUCCUGAACAUACAGAUGAACAAACGCAGCAUCAAAUGCGAUGAAUAGUUUGGGGUAUAAUGGUUGAAAUAUCUUGUGUUAUAUCCAUGUAGCUAUACCUGUAUCAAAAAAACUGCUUUGCACUUCUGAAAGCAUUGAUAACGUAGAGGUGGACACUUUUCCUGCAGUAAUGAUUCAAACUUACAAACUCAAAUUUAUGAAUGGAUUUUUUUUCCCAUUCCGUCUAGAAAAAAAGAAGGAAAAAGAAAGACAGAAUGUUUUGAAAGAGUGGUUUCCUUUUUGAGCAGACCUUCUUAAGAAUCCUCCUGUUUAUUGUAAAAUUUCAUUUUCUUAGUAUUUCUGCUCAGCCACUGAACCCCGAACUCUGUUGUUUCCGCAGCUCCAUUUGUAGUAAAAGCCAGGGAAAUUGCUGCCUAGAAGUGGGAUUUGCCCCUGCGUUGCCCACCUGCCCUAAUUACCACCCUCCAGGGCACUCUAGGGGGUUUGGGGCUCCACCUGCCUUAGAGCUGCUUGAAUAUUGUGAGAAGGAAAGGGAGGGCACGGAUUCUGUAGCCUGCUCUGAUGUUCCUGUAUGUGGGAGUCCCUGAUGCAAGAAGUCCUUCCCUCUACUGAAAAAAAUCUUUAAAAAAAGUGUGGUUCGAAUUGAUAUCUACAAUCCUGUUUUGUGCAACAACGUUUGUAAGAAUUAAACAGCACUUCUCACUCCUUUCUGAACUCCUCUGCCUGUUCUGUGACAGCAGCAGGCUUGGAAGUGACUGCUGAUUGUGACAGGUGAAAGCCACGAACACGGAGGGGCUGGGAGGAAAAUGGCAUCGCAAUCUGCCAUCCACCCCGGGAAGCAGAAGGGCCGUGGUGCUGUGCCAGCGCCUCCUCCGUGCUCACUGUUUAGGGGCGAAGCGGGAGCUGGACUCUCCCGGGACUGCUGCUGAGCUUUAGCACGGUUCAGAAAUCAGCUCUUUUAGCCAAGGAGAGAAGUUCCUGGAGGCAGCGUGGGUUCGGCAGCAGGAGCCCAGCGCCUGGCGGUGGGCAGGAUGAGGCAACGCUGCAGAGAACCACUUGGCACGGGCAGGUGGGCCAGACAGCAGGAGUGCGGCACCAUUUGCUCCACGCCUUGGCAG